UGGCUGGAAAGCAUUCUUAUGAAACACUUUUGGUAAAUGAUUCAGAGCAGAUGCCUGAACUCUCCAAAGUGGCGGGGACACACAAAACAUCCCAGUUAGUAAAAUGCCAAGUCAAAAGGAUCGACUUCGGGAGGACGGCACCAGCUGGAAAGAGUGAGAAGAUGGAUGGUUCCAAAGAUUUCCAGGAAGGUGGUGAAGCGUCUGCUGUGACUCGACUAGAUCAGGAGGAACCACCUCUCUGUUCUCGACAAUGGUUUAGUUCAUUUACUUUGGACCAUAUAUAUUAGCCAAAACUUUGGAGUUUCUGUGUAAGAUCACAUAUUUUUCUCAUUUCCCCACUUUAUUAAAAUAGCAUAUUUAUGUGA